AGAUUGAACGCUAGCGGGAUGCUUUACACAUGCAAGUCGAACGGCAGCGCGGACUUCGGUCUGGCGGCGAGUGGCGAACGGGUGAGUAAUAUAUCGGAACGUGCCCAGUAGCGGGGGGAUAACUACGCGAAAGCGUGGCUAAUACCGCAUACGCCCUACGGGGGAAAGGGGGGGAUCGCAAGACCUCUCACUAUUGGAGCGGCCGAUAUCAGAUUAGCUAGUUGGUGAGGUAAAGGCUCACCAAGGCGACGAUCUGUAGCUGGUUUGAGAGGACGACCAGCCACACUGGGACUGAGACACGGCCCAGACUCCUACGGGAGGCAGCAGUGGGGAAUUUGGACAAUGGGGGAAACCCUGAUCCAGCCAUCCGCGUGUGCGAUGAAGGCCUUCGGGCUGUAAAGCUACGUUUUGGCAGGGAAGAAACGGCGUGCCUAAUACGGACGUCACUGAACGUACCUGCAGAAUAAGACACCGGACUAACUACGUGCCAGCACGCCGACGUAAU
rnacentral:rRNA from 1 species